rnacentral:lncRNA from 1 species
GAGUUCCCUUCUUGAGAUCAUAAAGAUGAUCCAAGUUGCUCCUUUCCUUUGGACUUAGCAAGCAAUAAGCAAAUAACUCAAACAAUCAAGCAAAUAAUCAAUCAAGCUCCUAGGAAUCUUCCAAUUGGCUUUUGUCUCUCUUAUCUUGGAUGUCCAUGACAAUGGUUCUUCUAAGUAGCUCAAGUUUAGGAUCCCUAGCACACAAGAACACACAAAUCAAAAAGUUCCACAAUGCAAAUAAAAGAAUGGACAAGAGUGAGUUCAGAAUUAG